GACUUAAGCAUAUCAAUAAGCGGAGGAAAAGAAACUAACAAGGAUUCCCCUAGUAACUGCGAGUGAAGCGGGAAAAGCUCAAAUUUAAAAUCUGGCGGUCUCUGGCCGUCCGAGUUGUAAUCUAGAGAAGUAAUGCCCGUGCUGGACCGUGUAUAAGUCUCCUGGGAUGGGGCGUCAUAGAGGGUGAGAAUCCCGUCUUUGACACGGACUACCAGUGCAUUGUGGUAUGCUCUCAAAGAGUCGAGUUGUUUGGGAAUGCAGCUCAAAAUGGGUGGUAAAUUCCAUCUAAAGCUAAAUAUUGGCGAGAGACCGAUAGCGAACAAGUACCGUGAGGGAAAGAUGAAAAGAACUUUGGAAAGAGAGUUAAACAGUACGUGAAAUUGCUGAAAGGGAAACGCUUGAAGUCAGUCGCGUUGGCCGGGGAUCAGCCUUGCUUUUGCAUGGUGUACUUUCUGGUUGACGGGUCAGCAUCAAUUUUGACCGCUGGAAAAAGACCUGGGGAAUGUGGCAGCUUCGGCUGUGUUAUAGCCCCUAGUCGCAUACAGUGGUUGGGAUUGAGGAACUCAGCACGCCGCAAGGCCGGGUUUCGACCACGUUCGUGCUUAGGAUGCUGGCAUAAUGGCUUUAAGCGACCCGUCUUGAAACACGGACCAAGGAGUCUAACAUGCCUGCGAGUAUUUGGGUGGAAAACCCAAGUGCGUAAUGAAAGUGAAAGUUGAGAUCCCUGUCGUGGGGAGCAUCGACGCCCGGACCAGAACUUUUGGGACGGAUCCGCGGUGGAGCAUGUAUGUUGGGACCCGAAAGAUGGUGAACUAUGCCUGAAUAGGGUGAAGCCAGAGGAAACUCUGGUGGAGGCUCGUAGCGAUUCUGACGUGCAAAUCGAUCGUCAAAUUUGGGUAUAGGGGCGAAAGACUAAUCGAACCAUCUAGUAGCUGGUUCCUGCCAAUCCCC
rnacentral:rRNA from 1 species